rnacentral:Y_RNA from 1 species
GGCUGGGCCGAGUGCAGUGGCGUUUACAACUAACCCAUCACGGCCAGUUGCAGACUCCCUUGUUCCUUCUCUACUCCCACUGCUUCGCUUGACUAGCCUUAA